GUAGUCUCGCACAGAUGCAUAUCAAUAAGCGGAGGAAAAGAAACUAACAAGGAUUCCCCUAGUAACGGCGAGUGAAGCGGGAAGAGCUCAAAUUUGAAAUCUUAAAGGGUUUUCCCUUGACGAAUUGUAGUUUAAAGAAGUGUUUUCUGUUGAAGUUUUGGUAAAAGUUCUUUGGAAUAGGACAUCAUAGAGGGUGAGAAUCCCGUAUUUGACCAUUAUUUUCAGCUGUGUGAUACACUUUCAGAGAGUCGGAUUGUUUGGGAAUGCAGUCCAAAAUGGGUGGUAAAUUUCAUCUAAAGCUAAAUAUUGGCGAGAGACCGAUAGCGAACAAGUACCGUGAGGGAAAGAUGAAAAGAACUUUGAAAAGAGAGUUAAACAGUACGUGAAAUUGUCAAAAGGGAAGCGUUUGACACCAGUGUUGCUUUCUCGAAAAUCAAUUAAAAAGAGUUAGAUUUUGUUGUGUAUUGACCUUAACAGCUUGCAUUUCAAUUUUCUUGCUUUUUUUAAUGCACUUUUCGUUUAACAAGUCAACAUCAGUUUCUUUUGUUGUAAAAAGGUCAUUGGAAGGUGGCUUUCUUUUCGGAGAAAGUGUUUAUAGCCUUUGACUCCUGCAAUCGGAGAGACUGAGGUCUGCAGCGUAGAUCCUUCGGGGUUAGAUACAUUUGUGCUAAGUUAUAGCUUUUUAUAGACAACUUGUUGACUAUGAUUAGUCUUGUAGCUUACUCGCUUAUGCUAUUUUACCUACGCUUAGGAUGUUGAGCGCAUGUCUCUCUCU
rnacentral:rRNA from 1 species